GAUGAACGCUGGCGGCGUGCCUAAUACAUGCAAGUCGAGCGAACGGACGAGAAGCUUGCUUCUCUGAUGUUAGCGGCGGACGGGUGAGUAACACGUGGAUAAUCUACCUAUAAGACUGGGAUAACUUCGGGAAACCGGAGCUAAUACCGGAUGAUAUUUUGAACCGCAUGGUUCAAAAGUGAAAGACGGUCUUGCUGUCACUUAUAGAUGGAUCCGCGCUGCAUUAGCUAGUUGGUAAGGUAACGGCUUACCAAGGCAACGAUGCAUAGCCGACCUGAGAGGGUGAUCGGCCACACUGAAACUGAGACACGGUCCAGACUCCUACGGGAGGCAGCAGUAGGGUAUCUUCCGCAAUGGGCGAAGGCCUGACGGAGCAACGCCGCGUGAGUGAUGAAGGUCUUCGGAUCGUAAAACUCUGUUAUUAGUGAAGAACAUAUGUGUAAGUAACUGUGCACAUCUUGACGGUACCUAAUCAGAAAGCCACGGCUAACUACGU
rnacentral:rRNA from 1 species